ensembl:lncRNA TRAM2-AS1 TRAM2 antisense RNA 1 (head to head)
GCUACCGGGGCGGAGGCGUACGGGGGCGGCGAGCGGGGCUCGGCUCCUCCUCGUCCCGCGCCAGCGCCGCGCCCGGCCGCAUUCUCGGGGCCCGAGGCUCAGCCGCUCGCGGUGGAGAAAGCAGGCCGCGGAGGAGGCGGGCGCCCAGGCCUGCCCGGACAGGAAGUGGGCCCAGCUUUCCCACUCCUCGCUCCGCUCCUUCCUCCGCGGGAAGGGCAGGCCCCGGAGGCAGCGAGCGCCCCGGGGGUGGCCGGGCAGCCGGAUGCUCCCGGGGUUGCGGGCUGUGGCCCCGGGGGCUGAGGGCGGCGCGGGUGCGGCGGAAGCAGGGAAGCCGCGAACCGGCCUUCUGGCUGGCCACAGCGCCCUGCACGGACGAUCAGUGAAUGGAGAUUACUCAAGUAUUUAUCGAGAACUUGCAGUGGGCUAGGCACAGUUCAGUUGAACCUUCGUCUUGUGAGGAACAGAAAGAUCAAGAACUCUGAAGCACCUCGACUUUCCACCUGUGAAGAUGUGUUCAAAUUUGCAACGUGCGGCCACACCUAUGAGGUCACUCCCUCUGGAGGAAACCAGCUGCCACUUUGUGAGGAUACUCAUAGUCCUGUGGAGGCAUAUCCUCCAUAUGGCUGAGACCUCCUGCGAACAACCAUCACUGACUUGCCAGACAUGAGUGUGCCACCUUGGAAGCAGAUUUUCCAGCCCCAGUUAAGCCUUCAGAUGACAUCAGCCCCUGCUAAUCUCUUGACUACAACCUCAUGAGAGACCCUGAGCCAGAACUAGCCAGGCUUACCCCUCAUGGUUACAAAGUGGCUGCAACAGCUCCAGGUGUUCUAUCCUUUAACACAGAAUAACUCAAACAACAAGACCCAAUAUUCAGACAAGAAGGAAAGGGACUUUUGGAGAGUGAAGAAAACUUUCCUAGAAACCUCAAACUUCUCCCCAUGCCUUAUUGGCCAGAUUGUAUCCCAUGCCCAUUUCUAAACCAAUCAUUGGCAAAGUGAGUGGAAUUGACGUGAUUAGAUUAACUUUACCAAGAAUGCAUCCUCAGAGAGGCUGAGAAAAAGUCCAGCCUCCUUUGAAGAGCCUGGCUACCUUUCACCUGAACAAAACAAGAAUUCUGAUGAAAAAUGGAGAAUGUAUGUGGAGCAGGCACCCGGAGUGUCUAUGCCAGGAUUUUUUUUCAGUGCGUUUCACCGGUUAUAUUUUUGUCUCUUUACCUUACAAGAUAUGUGGCACGUUUGCCUAAAACAAGCCUUGCUUUCUGAUUUCUGUGCACUAGGCACUUAAACCUUGCAAAUGUCGCUUACCUAACAGUCACUGUCAAGGAGUACCUGGCUAAAGAAUCUCCAGCUAGACAAAGUAGAAGUGUCUGUGCUCUGGCAGUUGAAUAUAUUGUAUCAGGCUCAACAGCACCUUUCACCAAAGGAUGAGACUUCACAACCAUUAGAUCUUCUUUUAUUUUGUUUUUAUUAAAAAAAAAAAUUUUAACACACCAUUGCUAACUUGAAGCCAUUAGAUCUUCUUACCCCCAAUACCACAAAAGUUUAGUGGAAUCAGGGGUAUACCAAGGCAGGUGGAGUAGGGGAGCUGGGAGUGGUCAGCCCCCAGGGCAGGCAAUGAGGGAUUGUGAAUCUGUGAAGAAUUUUAAAGCAAUGAUACAGCUCUAAAUGCAAUGUACUAUCCUGGACUUAGCCCUGGAAAAGAAAAAAGAUAUUAGUGGAAAAACUGGUAAAAUUCAAAUAAUGUCUGUAGUUUGGUUAAUAGUAUUAUACCAAUGUUAAUUUCUGUGUUUUGAUAAAUGUACCAUGGUUAUGUAAGCUGGAUGAAAGAUAUGUGGGAAAUCUCUCUACUAUUUCUGCAACUCUCCUGUAAACCUAAAAAUGUUUCAAAAUAAAA